rnacentral:rRNA from 1 species
GUAAACGGCGGCCGUAACUAUAACGGUCCUAAGGUAGCGAAAUUCCUUGUCGGGUAAGUUCCGACCCGCACGAAAGGCGUAAUGAUUUGGGCACUGUCUCAACAAUGCACCCGGUGAAAUUGAAAUACCAGUGAAGAUGCUGGUUACCUGCGCCAGGACGGAAAGACCCCAUGGAGCUUUACUCCAGCUUGAUACUGGGAUUCGGUGUCGCAUGUACAGGAUAGGUGGGAGGCAGUGAAGGUAGGACGCCAGUCUUACUGGAGCCAAUGUUGGGAUACCACCCUUGCGGUAUUGGGUUUCUAACCUGCGGCCAUGACCUGGCCGGGGGACAAUGUCAGGUGGGGAGUUUGACUGGGGCGGUCGCCUCCGAAAGUGUAUCGGAGGCGCUCAAAGGUUCCCUCAGAAUGGACGGAAACCAUUCGAAGAGUGCAAAGGCAUAAGGGAGCUUGACUGCGAGACUGACGGGUCGAGCAGGUACGAAAGUAGGACUUAGUGAUCCGGUGGUAUAAAGUGGGAUUGCCAUCGCUCAACGGAUAAAAGCUACCCUGGGGAUAACAGGCUUAUCACUCCCAAGAGUUCACAUCGACGGAGUGGUUUGGCACCUCGAUGUCGGCUCAUCGCAUCCUGGGGCUGAAGUAGGUCCCAAGGGUUGGGCUGUUCGCCCAUUAAAGCGGUACGCGAGCUGGGUUCAGAACGUCGUGAGACAGUUCGGUCCCUAUCCGGCGUGGGCGUAGGAUAUUUGAGAGGAGCUGUCCUUAGUACGAGAGGACCGGGAUGGACUGACCUCUGGUGUACCGGUUGGGUAUCAAACCCAUGGCCGGGUAGCCAAGUCGGGAAGGGAUAAACGCUGAAGGCAUCUAAGCGUGAAGCCCCCCUCAAGAUGAGAUAUCCCAUCGCAAGAGUAAGACCCCUUGAAGACGACGAGGUAGAUAGGGCAGAGGUGGAAGCAUGGCAACAUGUGCAGCUGACUGUCACUAAUAGGUCGAGGGCUUAA